rnacentral:lncRNA from 1 species
AUAGCAACAGCAGCGUAGCUGAACAUCUUACGGAUGGCCCAGGGCUCCAAAGGCUCGUUUCCUAAGUGAGAGAGAGCCUGGCUGAAGCUGUAUUACCAUUCAUUCUCCAGCCUCCGAAGUCUCAAAGCAUCACUUCCACCAUACUCUAACUGUCAAGACAAACACAAAGGCCCAGAAACUGCCAGACUGUCUUCUGAAGUGGCUAUAAUAUUUACACUCCCAUCAGCAGUGUAGAAGGGGUCUCACUAUGUUGUCUGGAGUGCUGUGGUGGAGUGGAGUGGCUAUUCACAGCUGAGUUUGCAGAGUAAACCACUACCCUGAAAUCUGGAAAGGCAGGUGCACCCACAGAUCCUCAGCUGAGAUCCAAUUACCUGAAAUAGAAGCUGCCAUUAGGAACACUUAAAAGAGCCUGUUCUGCUGGGACACAGAAUCACUUGCUCCAUCUCAUACAUUGAUGAUGAUUAAUUUGUAUGUGUACCUUCCAAAAAAGAUGGUUGUGUUUGAAUGGAGGCCUUCUGGACAGGAAAAUUGCAAAGUACAAUUAACAUUUGAGUCUGUCUGAGUCAUGAAGAAAUGGAGAUUACUGAAAAUAAUUCAUUUUGGUAUCUUCUUACAUCCUGAGAGACUAAUCUUUCCAAGUUCAUCUGAGGCUCCUCUUCUCCAUGACAACCUCAUCCAGGGAUUUCUUCCUGUCCUGGUGUUUUAUGACAUGUGGAAGGGGACUGUAGCAGGUGAUCUCCAAAGUCUCUGGAGACUUACUAAUGUGCAUCCUCAUCUCGCUUGUAAGGAUAAUAGCCUUCCUCCAAACCUCACACACUUUUGGAGGAGAUCACUUUUUUUAAAGUGCAUGGAAAUGUUUUGAAACAGUGAAAUCUAUAAUGAUAGGUUUCAUAAUUCUAACAUCCACACCAUAUGAAUCACAUCCUUCCUGAGAUAAUGAGCACACAAUUGCCUGGAUACCUGAAGGAAUGGAGACAGCGGCAGAAAACACUGCAGAGAGGUGGAAACAUCCGUUAAUAUUUUAAAAUCCCAUUACUGCUACCAACAAUAAUAAUGGAUGCAUAGAAAUAGAUCUGGAUUAGCUGAGCUUGAAACAGUCCAUCUCACACACACACAAAAGAAUUUCAGAUACAGUGAACCCACAUGUUGAAGCUUUCUAGUAUAAUAAAAAUUUCAACUGUUCUGUUGAAUCAUCUGCCUGAUUGGAGGCUACAGAAAAGAUGUCAUCUUAGGAGUGCUUGCUCUGAGUGAGGCUCAUCUUCAAAUCUGAAUGACCACAAGGAGAUUUGAUUAUACAUGUGAACACCUCAGAAGGCACAGCCCACCCAGAAGGCAGACAGGUCAGGCUGCUUUUUCUUCAUUGCUUGGAUUCAAUCCUCCGGGCGGCUCAGGCUCAAACAUAACUUAAGCAUGAUUAAACUUUAGAAGAAGCUGCCAGGAAGACUGUGAAAUCUUCAUGCCCAAGGAUCCCUAAAAUUAGGAGCAACAACCACUUGGCUCAGACGGUUUAUGGAGGCAAAGGUUUGGAUGGGAUUAGAGAUUUCUAAAUGUGAGUUCGUGUCCUCUGCCAGACCACCUUACUUCCACCAUUCCUCAGCAAAUCAAGAAAAACAGGAGAAAAGACAUGCCUUUCCAUAAGUUAAAUCUAUUCUGUUUUAAUUCUAUAUUAUAUCUGCUGUACAACUUCUUUUGUUUGUAACACCAUAUUGUUGCUAGUAACUGGAAAUUAAUUUUCACAUGCCUCAGCUUAGAAAAAUAAAAAGCAGCCCUGCAUCAA